UCCGAGUUGACCCCGGCAGUCUCCCAUGAGUCCCCAACCACCCCGCAAGGGAUGUUGCUGGCAACAUGGAACGAGGGUUGCGCUCGUUGCGGGACUUAACCCAACAUCUCACGACACGAGCUGACGACAACCAUGCACCACCUGUCACCGGCCCAAAAAGGACCCCGCAUCUCUGCGAGUUUUCCGGCGAUGUCAAGCCCUGGUAAGGUUCUUCGCGUUGCAUCGAAUUAAGCCACAUGCUCCGCCGCUUGUGCGGGCCCCCGUCAAUUCCUUUGAGUUUUAGCCUUGCGGCCGUACUCCCCAGGCGGGGCGCUUAAUGCGUUAGCUACGGCACGGAACCCGUAACAGGCCCCACACCUAGCGCCCAACGUUUACGGCGUGGACUAC
rnacentral:misc_RNA from 1 species